GACCUCAGAUCAGGUAGGACUACCCGCUGAACUUAAGCAUAUCAAUAAGCGGAGGAAAAGAAACUAACAAGGAUUCCCCUAGUAGCGGCGAGCGAAGCGGGAUGAGCUCAAAUUUGUAAUCUGACGUCCCCCGGGCGUCCGAGUUGUAAAUUCAAGAAACGUUUUCCGCGCCGGCCGCGUCCAAGUCCCCUGGAAUGGGGUAUCAAAGAGGGUGAGAAUCCCGUGCUUGACGUGACCACCGGGGCUAUGUGAUACGUUCUCUACGAGUCGAGUUGUUUGGGAAUGCAGCUCUAAACGGGUGGUAAAUUCCAUCUAAGGCUAAAUACUGGCGAGAGACCGAUAGCGAACAAGUACCGUGAGGGAAAGAUGAAAAGCACUUUGUAAAGAGAGUUAAACAGUAUGUGAAAUUGUUGAAAGGGAAACGAUUGAAGUCAGUCGUGUCCAUCGGAUUCAGCCGGUCCUGCCGGUGCACUUCCUUUGGAUGGGUCAACAUCAGUUCUGCCCGACGGAAAGGGGCAGGGGGAUGAACGUAGCACCCUCGGGUGUGGUAUAGCCUCCUGUCACAAAACGUCGGUCGGGACUGAGGAACGCAGCUCGCCCUCUGGGCCGGGGGUCCGCCCCACGUACGAGCUUAGGAUGUUGGCAUAAUGGCUUUAAACGACCCGUCUUGAAACACGGACCAAGGAGUCUAACAUAUGUGCGAGUGUUAGGGUGUCAAACCCGGACGCGUAAUGAAAGUGAUCAUGGAGGGAUCCGCAAGGAGCACCUUUGACCGAUCUAGAGCCUCGGCGACGGAUUUGAGUAAGAGCAUGUAUGCUGGGACCCGAAAGAUGGUGAACUAUGCUUGAAUAGGACGAAGCCAGGGGAAACUCUGGUGGAGGUCCGUAGCGAUUCUGACGUGCAAAUCGAUCGUCAAAUUUGGGUAUAGGGGCGAAAGACUAAUCGAACCA
rnacentral:rRNA from 1 species